rnacentral:rRNA from 1 species
AUUGAACGCUGGCGGCAGGCCUAACACAUGCAAGUCGAACGGUAACAGGAAGCAGCUUGCUGCUUUGCUGACGAGUGGCGGACGGGUGAGUAAUGUCUGGGAAACUGCCUGAUGGAGGGGGAUAACUACUGGAAACGGUAGCUAAUACCGCAUAACGUCGCAAGACCAAAGAGGGGGACCUUCGGGCCUCUUGCCAUCGGAUGUGCCCAGAUGGGAUUAGCUAGUAGGUGGGGUAACGGCUCACCUAGGCGACGAUCCCUAGCCGGUCUGAGAGGAUGACCAGCCACACUGGAACUGAGACACGGUCCAGACUCCUACGGGAGGCAGCAGUGGGGAAUAUUGCACAAUGGGCGCAAGCCUGAUGCAGCCAUGCCGCGUGUAUGAAGAAGGCCUUCGGGUUGUAAAGUACUUUCAGCGGGGAGGAAGGGAGUAAAGUUAAUACCUUUGCUCAUUGACGUUACCCGCAGAAGAAGCACCGGCUAACUCCGUG